rnacentral:sRNA from 1 species
UGAAAUCCUAGGAGGGUUCCAAAUCUGA